UAGAUUCUUUCCAAGAGCUGCAUGUAUUGGAUGCUCAAUGCAAUAUUGUUUGUUACAGUAAAACACCUGGAGAUGAUCUAAAUAUCCUUCUGUUGAAGAAUGGAUGAAGAAAUCAUGGCACAUUUCCACUGUGAAAUAUUAUGCAGCAGUUAAGAAGAGUAAAGCACCUCUAUAUGGAGAGAUAGGGGAAAAACUUCAGAGCCUCUUAUGUCAAUCAAAGCCAGUUUUGGCAUAGUCAUCUCCUUUAUGCUGAAAAUAAUUACCACGUGUAGUAAAAAUUACCCCCAAAUGCUGUGCGUGUUACCUUAUUUAGAAAAAGAAUCUUUGCAGAUCUGAUUUAGGAUCUUGAGAUGGGGAACUUAUCCUGAUUACCCAAGUGGACCCUAAAUGCCAUCACAAAUAUGCAUGUAAGGAAGAGGCAGAGGGAGAUUUGACACAAAGAAAAGAGGAGACCAUGGAGGCAGAGACAGGAGUGAUGCGACUACAAGACAAGGAAUGCCGACAGCCACCAAAAGCUGCAAGAGGCAAGGAACGGAUUCUCCCCUAGAGCCUUUGGAGGUAGCCUGGCCCAGCUGACACCUGGAUUUUGACCCAGUGAAACUGAUGUGGAACUUGUGGCCUCCAGAACUGUGAGAGAAUAUAUUUAUGCUGUUUUAAGCCAGCAAGUCAGUGGUAAUCUGUUAUGGCAGCUACAGGAAAUGAAUACUCUGUAACAUACGCAUAUGUUACAAUGCAAAGAAAAGCCACAGCCUGAGAAGAUGCACACCCUAAUUGCUAACUGUGGCUCCCUCUGGGGAGAGGAAGGAGAUGUUCGAUUUUGCUGUGACUUUGUUUGUAUUAUGUGGGUUUUUAACCGUGCCUAUCUAUGCAUGUAGUACCUGUGUGUUUUUAAAAAUAGCAAUAGAGACCAAAUUAAAAACAUAUCUAAUUGGGACAGAAAUUUAGGAUCUCACUUCAGAAAAAUCAUCAGAUAAAGGUAUCUUAGGGGAUGGCAAGGCAUCGUUUGUUUUAUAGAAAAGAGGCUCAGUCCUACUGAACACCCUUAGUUGCAACCAUACUGAAUGCCUCUCACGAUGGAGGUUAGAGUACCUCCCCCACCAAAAGGGGACUGACUUUUGUCCCCUAUUGGUUGAGGGCUGUCACCAGAGGUAUCACCCUGAGCUUCCUGGCACAGCAGGCAAGAAAGCGGGAGUGAUCAGGUCGUUGGGACUGGCAGUGCGCAGGAAGAUUGCCUGCUGUGGGGGCAGCUGGAGUCCAGCUUUGGGGACAUAACAUUGGUGUGUUCACUAUAUUCUCUUAUUUUCCGUUUUUUUUUUUUGAUGCUCUGGUGUCUGGUGCCUUGUGGACUUAGGGAAGGACUGCCCCUCCCAGGGUUAGCUAAUUCUUAAGGAGAGUAACCAACUGGCCUUUGAGCACACCUUUCAUGUGCAAACCAACCAAUUUUGAGUCUGUAUCACCCACCUUAUUUUAUUAGGUUUCUGUCUGUCCUCUGCCCUAUCACCUGUAGCCCAGACCCGCUGAAAUCAUUCAAUUUCAGUUUGCUUAACUUUCUUUGCUCAUUCGGUACUGUGAAAACCACAGUAAAGGCUGCAGCUGCAUUUGCUCUCUCUCUCUCUUUGCCUGCGCAUCUCAGCUCCCGCAGCCCUGUGUGUUCCUGUGUGUCAUGCCGUGCCUCCUGUUUCUAGGAGACUCUAAAUUAGGAGGCAGUCACCAAAAUAUUUGGAAACAGUGUAAGAAGCAGCCAGUUUCAUAUGGAAGCAGCAUUGUAAGAAGUAAGAAAGAGUAGAAGAGGGAGCCUAAGUUGGCAGAUUUCAGAAAGUACCAGUGAAAUAUACCUGAAGGUGAGUGACACACCUGAGGAGCAGAAUCAUCAUCCCCCUACCCCUUGUCUGCAAAAGAGGGUGUGGAAAUGGGAUGGGGGCAAGUUUAGUGGCUCAGAGGAUUCAGCUGGACGAUUGGGAUUAGAAAAGCAGAGGACACUGUGAUACAUAAAGAGCCAUGCUAACAAGCCGUAUUUGCAGGAUGCAGCCUGACCAUGGGGUAGAUCAGAAGAAGAGAGUAUCUGCAUUAUGAAAACCAGCUGAUUUCAAAUUCCACUGGGUUCAACAGGAACCUCUUUCAAUUGACUGCUCCAACUCAUACAGUAAAAAGAACCCAGCAUCUAUACAGAGACACUGUGCUAAAAAAGGGGACAAAGAACAGCAAUGUUUCUUAACAGUUGAGGGCUGAUCACCUGAAAAUAUGACCUGGAAACAGUGGAAUUUUGAGCAAUCUUAUCGCAAUGAAUUUUUAAAACUUAAUAUACCCUCUGUGAAGAAAUACCACAAAGCAGAAACGCAAGAAUUCAAGAAAAAAUGGUAAGAUGGAAAGACAUGAAAUAUGAGCUGAAAAGAAGUAAGGAAAAGUAGAAACUAACAGAAAUAGCAUCUUGUCUCUGGAAAAGGCUGCGUGGCAAGAGGCGGCCAGUGAUGGCAUUCUGCCUCUUGAUGACCCUGUCUGCGAUGGCUGUCACCCACUUUCCCCCACAGCGUCCAGGCGCCAGCCCAGACCCUGGUCCCACGGAGCCUCAGGGGGUAACUGGCACCCCUGCAACCCAUAUCUGGCAGGCUUUGAGCUCCAGCCAGAGGCAGCAGGCAAGAAACAUGGGCUUCUGGAGAGGUCGUGCUUUGCCUAGGAACUCCAUCUUGGUCUGUGCGGAGGAGCAAGGCCACAGAGCGAGAGUGGACAGAAGCAGAGAGUCCCCAGGAGGGGACUUCAGGCAUCCAGGGAGGGUCAGGAGGGACAUUACUUGGACAGGACAUCCAAGACUCAGUACUCAGCAUGUUGUGCUCCUGAGGGAGGAUGAGGUCGGAGAUCCAGGAGCCAAAGACCUGGGCCACCCCCGGCAUGGCAGUCCCACCCAGGAGAUGCAGAGUGAGAUGGUCGCCCUGGUUGAUCCACUCGCAGGGAGCGAUGUGGCAGCUUCACCAGCUUGGAGAACUACUGCUGGGCUGACACUCUGGCCCCAUAGAGUGGAAGGCAGGGAUCUGAUGGGAACUGAGAACAGAGCCUUGACUGGUGGACGACAAGAAGAGGAUCCCACCUUGGCCUCAGGGGCUCAUCAGUGGCCUGGCUCUGUUGGGGAGCUGCAAGGGUCAGUAUGGUGUGGCACUGAGACCCCAGGGCUGUUGAGCAGCUCGAGGACUGGUGGGCAGGUUCCCCCAUGGCUGACAGACCACGAUGUGCAGAUGCUUCGACUGUUGGCUCAGGGGGAGGUGGUGGGCAAAGCCAGGGUCCCUGCCCAUGGGCAGGUGCUACAGGUUGGCUUCUCUGCUGAGGGUACCCUUCAGGACGUGUCCCCUCCCAGGCUCAGCCAACUCUGCUCCCAAGGGCUCUGUGGCCUGAUCAAGAGGCCUGGGGACCUGCCUGAGGUCCUAUCCUUCCAUGUAGAUCGUGUGCUGGGGCUGCGCAGGAGCCUGCCUGCUGUGGCCCGCCGCUUCCACAGCCCCCUCCUGCCCUACCGCUACACGGAUGGUGGCACAAGGCCUGUCAUCUGGUGGGCCCCCGAUGUGCAGCACCUGGGUGACCCGGAUGAGGACCAGAACUCUCUGGCCUUGGGCUGGCUGCAGUACCAGGCCCUGCUGGCACAUGGUUGCAGCUGGCCAGGCCAGGCCUCAUGCUUGGGCAUCCACCAUGCGGAGUGGGCACGCCUGGCGCUCUUCGACUUCCUGUUGCAGGUCCACGACCGCUUGGAUCGCUACUGUUGUGGCUUCGAGCCUGAACCCUCAGACCCCUGUGUGCAAGAGGGGCUCCGAGAUAAAUGCUGGAACCCGGCUGAGCUGCGGCUGGUCCACAUCCUGGUCCGGAGCAGUGAUCCAUCUCACCUGGUCUACAUCGAUAAUGCCGGCAACCUUCAGCACCCUGAGGACAAGCUGAACUUUCGGCUGCUGGAGGGCAUAGAUGGGUUUCCUGAGUCUGCUGUGAGGGUUCUCACAUCAGGGUGUCUACAGAACAUGCUGCUUAAGUCGCUGCAGAUGGACCCUGUGUUCUGGGAAAGCCAAGGUGGGGCCCAGGGGCUGAAGCAGGUCCUCCAGACCCUGGAGCGGCGAGGACAGGUGCUGCUGGAACAUAUCCGGAAGCACAACCUCACACUCUUCAGGGACGAGAACCCGUGAGCCUCGCCACGGCCCUGAGUCAAUGAGCAUCCAUCCUGAUGGCCACAUCUUCUUGGACUCACUCAUCUUGAGGACAAAUAGGAAAAGCCAGAAGCCAGAGGGGCACAAGGAUCUCACAGGAUAUUUCACCUGCCUGGGAUGGUGGAGAAAGCCUCUUCGCCUCAGUGCUUGCUGCUUGCCCAGCUGUUCCCUCUGGAAUGAGAACCGUGUGCCAAGUGAAGCAAACAGCCAGGAAUCAGGAUGUUCCCACCAACCUUAGAAGAGGCUGUGAAGAUAAGGAACCAAUAGCAGGGGCAGUGGGGAGGAAGAACAGAGGGGUGUCUUGCCUGAGGCCACACAGAUGGGAGCAGCUGCCUUUCUCAUACAAGGACACUUCACUUGUUAUUAGAUUUGGGGCCCACAUGGAUAAUACAGGCAACAUUUCCCAUGGGAUCAUUGUACACCACAGACUCUGAAUUACACCAGGAAACAGGGCUUUGCCUCCCUGUGUCCAUGUGUCAGGUGAGUGGUGCACUAGGCAUCACCUUGGGUACAGGGAGCAUGACCCAAGAUGCUGUGCCUAAAGGGAAUGUUAAGGUGCCCUGCUUCUUGGACAUCUGAUUGCCAGUUCUCAUGACUGCUGCUUCAUUUAAAACUUAAUUGUAGUGUGAUAUCAGAACCAAGAACUUGACAUUGGUACAAUAUGUGUGAUUCCACAGUCCUGUUAUCAUGCACCCACAUACAACAGUGGGGUAGGAUCCCAGGCAUCUUGGAUGAUUUUCACAUCAGGAAUGAAUGGAUGCAUCCUUUCUCUGCCCUGCCCACAUGGAAGUUCUGCUGUCCACAUGAAGGCACAUCUAGUUCUGGUGAGUGACCAUGGUGAAUGUCAGGGAUUGGGUUGCCCAAUCUCCACCCCGCCUUCCUUCUACGGAGUCUUCCUGCACUGCUGAGACCAAAAAGCUGCACACUCCAUUACCCAGGCUCCCUUGCAGCUGGGCUCUGGAUGCAAAUUAGAUUCUACCAUUCAGAUGUACUCCUGGGAGGGCCGUCCUCCUGUGUGGACAUCCUCCUGUGCCUUUUAGCUAUUUUCAGUUCACAGGCAAAGUGGUGGCGAUGAGAGGUGUUCUAGAGCAGGCUUCAGUGUCCACUUGCCAGCUUUCUGGGUCCCAAGAGUGGGAGGCUGGCAGAGUGGGGCUGGACGGUGAUUCUGUUACCCAGUCACCAGCUUUGUGAUGGUUGAGAGGUGGCUGUGACACUGCUGAGAGCAUCCUGAUCCCUAGAUCCCAACUCCAUUUGUGGUUCUUUAGCUCACAGCCCUAGCAGCAGCCUCCGGGAUUGUGGUGGUUGCAGAACUGAGGCCUAUCCUGGAGCACUCUCCCCCAGAUCUUCCAAGGAUUUCUUAAACACUUUCUGUUUUGAAAAAAAAAAUGAUAAAUUCACAGAAGUUGCAAAGAUAGUACAGGGAGGUCCUGUGUAUCCUUCACCGAGUUUCCCCCAUAGUUACAGCUUCCUUAAUUGUAGUGCAAUAUCAAAACCAAGAACUUAAUAUUGGUACAAUAUGUGUGAUUCCACACUCCUGUGAAUCACAUGUACAUUCAUCAAUCACCACAGCAAUCAAGGUAAAGAACUGUUUCAUCACCACAAAGAUCACACCUACCCCUUUCACUCUCUCCCAUUCCUAAGCCCUGGCAACCACAAAUCUGUUCUCCACUUUUAUAAUUUUAUCAUUUCAAGAGGAACGUUACAUAAAUAGAACCACCCAGGAGGUAAACUUUGGAGGUUGGCUUUUCUUCCACUCAGCACAAUGUCUUUGAGACCCAUCUAAGUUGUUGAUGUAUCAGUAACCCACUCUUUUUUGUUGCUGAGUGGUAUUCCAUGGUAUGGAUGUGCCACGUGUUGUUUAAUUAUUUGCCCAUUGAAGGAUAUCUGGGUCAUUUUCAGUUCUUGGCUAUUGCAAACAAAUCUGCUUGGAACAUUUGUGUACAGGCUUUUGGGUAAACAUCAUUUUCAUUUCUCUGGCAUAAAUGCCCAGAAGUCCAAUUUCUGAGUCAUAGGGUAAGUAUAUGUUCAAUUUCUUAAGAAACUGCUCAUCUAUUUCACAGAGUACCACUUUACAUUCUUACCGGCAAUGAAUGUAAACCCAGCUGUUCUGCAUGUUUGCUGGCAUUUGGUGUUGUUGCUAUUUCUUGUUUUAGUGGAAGUGUGGUUGAGUCUUCCCUUGCCACCAAUGUCUCUAUAUUUGAACUUGGAAAAUGGGAAUGGUUUGGGGAUACUGAGGGAUUAUUGGCCUCACAGUUAUACAGUAAUCCACCCCCACCCCCAUUAGGAAAAGGUAAUAUUUCAAAAUAUUGUUUAUCAUAAAUUCAAAUUGAAUUGGGUGUACCUUACUUUUGUUUGCUAAAUUUAGCAAUCCUAGGAAAAGGUUAACCUACCUGAACCAGUCAAAAGUCUGAAAGUACAACACUCAAAAACACAUCAUUUGAUUAUUUCCACUAGAUGUAAGCUCCCAGAGGCAAAGAUUACAUCUUCUUAUACUUUUUAUUCCCAGGACCCAGGAUAGAAUUAUCUCAAAUUCUAAAUUAGCUGUGUGUGACUUCAUGAAAUUUUUUCUUUGAAAAGAGAAAUGAAACUCCUGUGAUUAAAGGACACACACAGCUUUCUGACUAUACUGCUGUUUGGAAGGGGUGUGUUUUUAAAAAUGUUAAUUGGAAUUUAUUUGGCUUUCAAAAAUUCAUAUAUAAAAAUAAUGAAAACAGAAAUGACACAGCCUAGUAGCUGCCUGGGUAUCCCAGACUCCACGUCCUUUUAAGGUAACUCACUCUGCCCGCCUGCUUUCCCACAGGCUCAGUGUGGCCAGAGCUGACCGCGAGCCUGGCUUUAUGCUGUUGCUGGGGUGGGACCUGGGCUCCACAACCUGCACCCUUCUGAAGGGAGGCCCACAGUGCUGGUCCACAGAUCGAUGCAGCCUUGGUUCGCUGCCUCUGGUGCUGACUGCAGGGGCCUGGCCAGACCAUCAUCGUCACCAGCACUGUGGACUGGGAGGGUGCAGGGCUGCAUUCCUGCAGAGACCAAUGGUGGCAGUACAUCUCUGCCUCCCUUCUGUCCUUCCCUGCAUCUGGAAGAGGACUACUUGGAGGCCUGAAACUGCCCUCCUGUCCUGAAGGGUGGAAAACCUGGCUUAACUACAUCUUCCGUCAGCUGUGGGCCACGUGGACUGUCCAGCAGAGGUUGGUGCACCUGGACAGCCUGAUUGUAUCAGGCUGUGGCUGAGUGGGAACAGCUGGAGGCUGGUCAGGGGCUGAGGAACACCUGAAGCAUUCCUUGUGGGUUUAAGUUCCCAUCUGGGCCCCCUGCCCAGACCUGGCACUCCGCUACUGCCACCCCACCUGCAGCCAGCAGGAUGCUCUCAUAGCUGACUCAUGGUGGGGGUCGCAGGAAGAGGAGCAGAGGCCAAAGGCUGAGGAGCUCUGGCCCAGGGACCCACUGGGUUACUUGUGACAGGCUUUGGCCUAGUAGCUGCUUGUGUAUCCCAGACCCCAGCUCUCAGGCUCUUGAUUGCUAAGAUGAAGAUUUAUAAUAAACAGGAUAGAGAAAUGUAAAUGCCCUUAAUGUUACAUAAGCUCUUAUCGCUUCUGUAUAUUUAUAUAUGAAUACCCAUAUAUAUAUAUAUAUAUAUAUACACAUAUACACACAUAUAUGUAUGAGUCAUAAGAAAUUAUUUAUAUAUUCAUCCCCCUAUGAAUAUGGGGAUGAUAGAGAGGGUCUCUAUCAUGUAGGGGUAUGUGUGUUACAUGGAUGUAUGCAUUUGUCAAAACUCAUGUAACUACACAGAAAAUCUGUCUAUUUCACCAUAAACACCAAUAAAUUUUUUUUUUUAAAGCAGCAGCAGUAAAAGAAAAAAUGCUGCCACUACUCAGUGCUGUCAAGCGGUGGCCUGGGCUGCUGGGCAUAGAUCCAGCUCCUCCAUGGAGCCUGGGGGAAGGAGCUGAUUUCCCAGUGAUUCUACACAACGUUCUCUAGCUAACCAAAGUCUUGUUUCCAAAGAAUAGUCAUCAGUGACAAGGCAAAGUGUUCACAUUACAAUGUUAAAGAGAAAAAAAGGGGGCAAAGUUUCACAUAAUGCAGAUUCCCAAUUUGUAAAAAACAGUUUGGACAAAAGCAGAGAUGCAUGUAUUCAUGGAGCCAAGGAACCAUUCACUGAGCUUUCCCUUGGCUGUGACCCACAUGUCACAAACCCUCACUGAGCUCCCAGCCUGUGAGCAAUGACUUGCAGAGGUAAGUGCUUCCCUGGAGACCGUGGUGGGAACAGCAGGGUUAGGGCUUUGUAGGUGUGACAAACUGGGUUUUCAGGAGAGCUGGCCCUUGUGCUGAGUGGUCUUCCUUUCUAAUCAAGGUGUGCCAUACAGAAAGCACAGAGGUGAGUGAAGUGUACUAAUCUACUGUGUAAGCAGGAUGAUGACUUUUCUCAAUGUCCACGGUGCAGCCACCAUCCAGACCACAAUGUUGGCAACCCCCAAGUGUCCCUGUGUCCAUUCCAGUCUUUACCCCCGUUCCCGGUAACCACUAUUCUGAUUUCCAUCACCAUAAGUUUGUAUUCCUGUUCUAGGACUUUAUACAAAUGGAAUCAUGAAAUAUGUCUGCCUUUUUGAGUCUGCCUUCUUUUACUUAAUGUGGUCUGAAAGUUCACUUCAUUCUUUUUAAAAUUGUUGUGUCCAUUGCCUGAAUAUACCUGUUGAUGGAUACUUGAAACACUUACGCUGUUUGGCUAUUAAGAGUAGAGCUGUAGACAUUUUAAGACAUGUCUUUUUGCUGACAUAAGCACUCAUUUCUCUUGGGUGUAUAUCAAGAAGUGGAAUUGCUGAGAGAUAGGGCAGCUAAGUGUUCAGCUUUAGUACAAACUGCCAAAUGGUUUUCCAAGUGGUUGUGCCAUUUCACUCCCCCAGCCCCAACAGUGUCUGAGAUCUCUGGCUUUGAGCUGAGUCUUGAUGUGUGGAUUCUCAUGGCAUUUUAUGGUGGUGGCAGAUGGAAGCUACAGUUAGGGAGAAAGACAUUCUGGGUAAAAGGAAUGACAUAAGGAUGCAUGGUGACCAUGAAAAUGCAUCAUUCAGAUCUCCUGUGGCAGAGGACAUGGGAUGGCCCAGCUGCUGUGCUGAAUUCACCAAGGUACUGAUGCAGAGGACACAUUUCCCACUGUGGUUCCCAGCUGAUUAGCGUGGUGGGGAUACCUAUCUAAUGAACAUCUUCAGCUCAAGAACUCCCCAUCGGCCUGGUUAAAAGGUGUGCCAUAUAGAAUGCACGGAGCUACAGCCUGAGGCUCCACCUCCUCUCCCCGGCUUUUUUCCCUCUCCUCUUUAUAGGAGUCAGAUGUGCAGCAGGUCUCUCUAACAACAAAAAGACCAAAACUCCUUUCUUCAGGGCAGACUGGAUCUUGGGGGAACUUUCUAGCUCUGCUCCCAUGGAAGGCAGACAAACGUUAGCUGAAUGUCAGGUGUGGUAUUAGGCAAAACUGCCCAUGGGAGUUUUUGACCUCUGAUUGACAAACUACACCUGGACUGGAAGGACAAAUAAUCUACACCAUCUGGUAAGAAACCAUAGCCUUAGGCUUCCCUAAGUGCAGAAACUCAUAACUGGGCGCGUCCUUUGAGGGGCCCUGCGAAUUCUGAUUGUGGGUUGUUGAAAACACAUUGACUCCUAUAGGGAAUGGGCUUCUGAACCAAGGUGGCCUUCAGGACUACUGAUGUGAAGACUGCUCCUGUGGAAGGGAACUGUUGGCACGGUCCUGCUGGUACACUAAGCAUCUAUCUCCAUCCUUCUAAGCACCUCCGAUGCCAGGUAUGGUCCUCUUGCAAGUCUGAAUGUCUAGUUGAGCCUAAGAAAAACCUAUGGUAGAUACAGCUCUUCCUCCCCUCAGCCCUCUCCCACCUACUUCUAGGCUUUCAUCCCAUGUAGGUAGAACUGUGAUAUUAGUCCAGCUAGUCAAGAUGAAAUCCAACCAGCUUGCUCACUUCACCAUUCUAGACGCUUUCCCAUUGCCACGUCUCCCUAGCUAACGGUCAGGAUUAAAGGGCACCUGGGUUUUGAUGACCAGCCCCCCUUCUUCCCAUCCAAUAA